CUCAGAACGAACGCUGGCGGCAUGCCUAACACAUGCAAGUCGAACGAAGUCUUCGGACUUAGUGGCGCACGGGUGCGUAACGCGUGGGAAUCUACCCUUGGGUACGGAAUAACUCAGAGAAAUUUGUGCUAAUACCGUAUAAUGACUUCGGUCCAAAGAUUUAUCGCCCAAGGAUGAGCCCGCGUAAGAUUAGCUAGUUGGUGGGGUAAAAGCCUACCAAGGCGACGAUCUUUAGCUGGUCUGAGAGGAUGAUCAGCCACACUGGGACUGAGACACGGCCCAGACUCCUACGGGAGGCAGCAGUGGGGAAUAUUGGACAAUGGGCGAAAGCCUGAUCCAGCAAUGCCGCGUGAGUGAUGAAGGCCCUAGGGUUGUAAAGCUCUUUUACCCGGGAUGAUAAUGACAGUACCGGGAGAAUAAGCUCCGGCUAACUCCGUGCCAGCAGCCGCGGUAAU
rnacentral:rRNA from 1 species